CCGGGGGCUGCAGUGAGGAAUAUUGGUCAAUGGGCGAGAGCCUGAACCAGCCAAGUCGCGUGAGGGAGUACUGCCCUAUGGGUUGUAAACCUCUUUUGUCGGGGAGCAAAAGCCGGACGUGUCCGGCUGUGAGAGUACCCGAAGAAAAAGCAUCGGCUAACUCCGUGCCAGCAGCCGCGGUAAUACGGUGGAUGCGAGCGUUAUCCGGAUUUAUUGGGUUUAAAGGGUGCGCAGGCGGAGGCACAAGUCAGCGGUAAAAUCGCGGGGCUCAACCCCGCUCCGCCGUUGAAACUGUGUCCCUUGAGUGCGCGAAGGGUAGGCGGAAUGCGUGGUGUAGCGGUGAAAUGCAUAGAUAUCACGCAGAACUCCGAUCGCGAAGGCAGCCUACCGGCGCGCAACUGACGCUCAUGCACGAAAGCGUGGGUAUCGAACAGGAUUAGAUACCCGGGUAGUC
rnacentral:rRNA from 1 species